rnacentral:ncRNA from 2 species
UUCUUAUAAAGAAGAGGCGAGAGAACAGGCUCUGUGACCCUCUGGCAACCGCCGAUACCGGAAAGGUGCCAACUCCUGCUCAACCCUGAUUUUCAGGAUGAGAACUAUAAAAA